GUCCUGGGGGAGACUGUCCUGCUCCUGGGGUUCAGCCUGAUGCUCUUGGUGAGUAAUGCUGGACAAGUGACGUCUUACCUCCUAUGCAAGACUGCUUCUCCAACUCCGUGUAAAUGGGCUGUCCGGUGCCCAUUUGCAGCAGGCAUUAUAAUAGUUGUUAAGAUGCAAAAGUGACAAAGGUACACCUUCAGGCCUCCAGUGGUCAAAGUUUAGUAGUCAGAAUAGAGACAAGGAAACAAACAAAUGUCAGGGAACAUUAGGGGACUAUGGUGAAAGCUUGUCCAGGGCAUCCGGCGGCAGAAAGGAAGGAGCUAGCUGACAGUCCUUCCUCAGUGGGUCAGGACAGACUUCUGCGAAGAGGUGAUCCCUGGAAGGGGCUCAAGAUAUGAGCUGUGGGAGAACGUGUUCCCUGUACUCACAAAGGGGCUGGUGAGUAGGGGGCUGAGAGGGUAAUGGGCUUGGGAGGAGAGUGGGGAUGAGAAAGGGAGGACCGUGUGGGAGGGCACAGAUGCAUGAAGCAGCAUUCACCUGCUCAGGGAACCAAACAUAGGGGUGCAAACACAGAGACGAGAGGCUGGAGCUGAGAGACCCGACCACGAUGGUCUCACGCAUCCUAUUUUCACUCUAGCAAUAGGGCAGAAGACAAGAUGGAUUGGGGGGAAAGCCACAAAGAGAUAGAGGGGUCCAAACAAGAGAAAAUGAGGUGCUCCCUAACUGGAGCUUAGCAGGGAUCUUCCUCCUCCCAGUUUUCAAAGAUGCUUCCCUGGCCUUCACAUCACCACAUUAUAUAUCAUGUAGAUUCAGUGUCACAGCCUGAGCUGGGCCCGGAAGGCCACUCCGAACCCCACCUUCAGGACGCAUCAGCAAGGGUACAACCUGGAUGCCUACACUUCCCAAAGAGCUGGGUUGACAUCAGUGAGGAGAGGUCGACAACACCAAGACUCUGAUACCCCCACAGUUGAGGGAGACCAUGGUGGGCCCUGGGAGGCCCAGGAACAGGUAGACCUGGAGUGGUUUGACCCAGAACGCUUCUUUUCAAUCCUGCUCAGGCAGUCUCUGUCGGUGACAACGAAAAUCAGCCAGAUGAAGGAAGAGCUCAGGCUCCUCUGCCUCGGUCUCCUGCGCGAAGCCCGUUCUCUCCGGCAGCUGUGGGGUGCCGGGCGUCACACCCCAGCCUCUACUGGCCAGCUCCUGGGGAACCCCCC
rnacentral:lncRNA from 12 species